GGGCGUGUAGCUCAGGGGUAGAGCGCUCGCUUUGCAUUGCUUCCAAGUGCGUCUGCGAGAGGCCUAGGGUUCAAAUCCCUACUCGUCCA